GUGCCAGUAGCUCAGUAGGAUAGAGCAACUGCCUUCUAAGCAGUAGGUCGGGAGUUCGAAUCUCUCCUGGCACGCCA
rnacentral:tRNA from 1 species